rnacentral:rRNA from 1 species
AACGUAGGGUGCAAGCGUUAAUCGGAAUUACUGGGCGUAAAGCGUGCGCAGGCGGCUUUGCAAGACAGAUGUGAAAUCCCCGGGCUUAACCUGGGAACUGCAUUUGUGACUGCAUGGCUGGAGUGCGGCAGAGGGGGAUGGAAUUCCGCGUGUAGCAGUGAAAUGCGUAGAUAUGCGGAGGAACACCGAUGGCGAAGGCAAUCCCCUGGGCCUGCACUGACGCUCAUGCACGAAAGCGUGGGGAGCAAACAGG